rnacentral:rRNA from 1 species
UGACGUUACCAAACUGUUGCCUCGGCGGGAUCUCUGCCCCGGGUGCGUCGCAGCCCCGGACCAAGGCGCCCGCCGGAGGACCAACCAAAACUCUUAUUGUAUACCCCCUCGCGGGUUUUUUUAUAAUCUGAGCCUUCUCGGCGCCUCUCGUAGGCGUUUCGAAAAUGAAUCAAAACUUUCAACAACGGAUCUCUUGGUUCUGGCAUCGAUGAAGAACGCAGCGAAAUGCGAUAAGUAAUGUGAAUUGCAGAAUUCAGUGAAUCAUCGAAUCUUUGAACGCACAUUGCGCCCGCCAGUAUUCUGGCGGGCAUGCCUGUCCGAGCGUCAUUUCAACCCUCGAACCCCUCCGGGGGGUCGGCGUUGGGGAUCGGCCCUGCCUCUUGGCGGCGGCCGUCUCCGAAAUACAGUGGCGGUCUCGCCGCAGCCUCUCCUGCGCAGUAGUUUGCACACUCGCAUCGGGAGCGCGGCGCGUCCACAGCCGUUAAACACCCAACUUCUGAAAUGUUGACCUCGGAUCAGGUAGGAAUACCCGCUGAACUUAAGCAUAUCAAUAGNCGGGAGGAA